rnacentral:rRNA from 1 species
AUUGAACGCUGGCGGAAUGCUUUACACAUGCAAGUCGAACGGCAGCACGGACUUCGGUCUGGUGGCGAGUGGCGAACGGGUGAGUAAUACAUCGGAACGUGCCCAGUCGUGGGGGAUAACGUAGCGAAAGCUACGCUAAUACCGCAUACGAUCUAAGGAUGAAAGCGGGGGAUCGCAAGACCUCGCGCGAUUGGAGUGGCCGAUGGCAGAUUAGGUAGUUGGUGGGGUAAAGGCUCACCAAGCCGACGGUCUGUAGCUGGUCUGAGAGGACGACCAGCCACACUGGGACUGAGACACGGCCCAGACUCCUACGGGAGGCAGCAGUGGGGAAUUUUGGACAAUGGGCGCAAGCCUGAUCCAGCCAUUCCGCGUGCAGGAUGAAGGCCCUCGGGUUGUAAACUGCUUUUGUACGGAACGAAAAGGCUCUGGUUAAUACCCGGGGCUCAUGACGGUACCGUAAGAAUAAGCACCGGCUAACUACGUGCCAGCCGCCGCUGUAA